rnacentral:rRNA from 1 species
GACGUAGGGCGCGAGCGUUGUCCGGAUUUAUUGGGCGUAAAGAGCUCGUAGGCGGCUUGUCGCGUCGUCCGUGAAAACCUGCAGCUCAACUGCAGGCUUGCGGUCGAUACGGGCAGGCUAGAGUUCGGUAGGGGAGACUGGAAUUCCUGGUGUAGCGGUGAAAUGCGCAGAUAUCAGGAGGAACACCGGUGGCGAAGGCGGGUCUCUGGGCCGA